AGACGGAGGGCGCGAGCGUUGUUCGGAAUUACUGGGCGUAAAGCGCGCGCAGGCGGACGUGGCAAGUCGGUGGUGAACUCCUGGGGCUCAACCCUGGGGCUGCUGCCGAUACUGCUCGUCUAGGGACCGGUAGGGGCCGGUGGAAUUCCCGGUGUAGCGGUGGAAUGCGUAGAGAUCGGGAAGAACACCUGUGGCGAAGGCGGCCGGCUGGGCCGGAUCCGACGCUGAGGCGCGAAAGCGUGGGGAGCAAACAGGAUUAGAUACCCUGGUAGUCCACGCCGUAAACGAUGGGUGCUAGAUGCCGGUGGGAGCGACCCCUUCGGUGUCGUAGCUAACGCGUUAAGCACCCCGCCUGGGGAGUACGGCCGCAAGGCUGAA
rnacentral:rRNA from 1 species